rnacentral:rRNA from 1 species
AUAUCAAUAAGCGGAGGAAAAGAAACUAACAAGGAUUCCCCUAGUAACUGCGAGUGAAGCGGGAAAAGCUCAAAUUUAAAAUCUGGCGGUCUUCGGCCGUCCGAGUUGUAGUCUGGAGAAGUGCUUUCCGCGCUGGACCGUGUACAAGUCUCUUGGAACAGAGCGUCAUAGAGGGUGAGAAUCCCGUCUUUGACACGGACUACCAGUGCUCUGUGAUGCGCUCUCAAAGAGUCGAGUUGUUUGGGAAUGCAGCUCAAAAUGGGUGGUAAAUUCCAUCUAAAGCUAAAUAUUGGCGAGAGACCGAUAGCGAACAAGUACCGUGAGGGAAAGAUGAAAAGCACUUUGGAAAGAGAGUUAAACAGUACGUGAAAUUGCUGAAAGGGAAACGAUUGAAGUCAGUCGCGUUAGCCAGGACUCAGCCUUGUUUUUACUUGGUGCAUUUUCUGGUUGACGGGCCAGCAUCGAUUUUGAUCGCCGGAAAAAGGUUGGGGGAAUGUGGCACCUUCGGGUGUGUUAUAGCCCUCAAUCACAUACGGUGAUUGGGAUCGAGGACCGCAGCACGCCUUUAUGGCCGGGGUUCGCCCACGUUCGUGCUUAGGAUGCUGGCGUAAUGGCUUUAAACGACCCGUCUUGAAACACGGACCAAGGAGUCUAACAUGCCUGCGAGUGUUUGGGUGGAAAACCCGAGCGCGUAAUGAAAGUGAAAGUUGAGAUCCCUGUCGCGGGGAGCAUCGACGCCCGGACUUGAACUUCGGUGAUAGAUCUGCGGUAGAGCAUGUAUGUUGGGACCCGAAAGAUGGUGAACUAUGCCUGAAUAGGGUGAAGCCAGAGGAAACUCUGGUGGAGGCUCGUAGCGAUUCUGACGUGCAAAUCGAUCGUCAAAUUUGGGUAUAGGGGCGA